UACGUAGGCAGCAAGCGUUGUUCGGAAUUACUGGGCGUAAAGAGUGUGUAGGCGGUGUUCUAAGUUUGUCGUAAAAUCUCCCGGCUUAACUGGGAGGGUGCGGCGAAAACUGGAAUGCUAGAGGAUGGGAGAGGUAAGCGGAAUUCCUGGUGUAGCGGUGAAAUGCGUAGAUAUCAGGAGGAACACCUGUGGUGUAGACAGCUUACUGGACCAUUUCUGACGCUGAGACACGAAAGCGUGGGUAGCAAACAGG
rnacentral:rRNA from 1 species